UUUGGAGUUGGUUACACCAACAAAAAUGUAAAAUGAAGAAAAAAAUAUUUGGGGUGUUCAGGCUUCCUGAAGGUAAUACCCGGGUAUUAGAUUUCAAGGCUAGGGUAAGGUUUAAGGUUUUUGGUGUUAGGGUUAAAAUCACUGUCCAAAACCUUUGUAGGAACUCUUUUCCAACCUUUUGGAGUUAGUUAGACCAAAAAAUAUGAAAAAAGAAAAAAAUAUUAUUGGGGGUUUUCGGGCUCCCUGAAAGUAAUACCCGUGUAUUAGGUUUUGGGACUAGGGUAAGGUUUAAGGUUUUUGGCGUUAGGGUUGAAAUCACUGUCCAAAACCUUUGUAGGAACUCUUUUCCAACCUUUUGGAGUUAGUUAGACCAAAAAAAAAAAGAAAAAUGAAAAAAAAAUAUUUGGGGUGUUCAGGCUUCCUAAAAGUAAUACCCGGGUAUUAGGUUAUGGGGCUAGGGUAAGGUUUAAGGUUUUUGGCGUUAGGGUUGAAAUCACUGUCCAAAACCUUUGUAGGAACUCUUUUUCAACCUUUUGGAGUUAGUUAGACCAAAAAAAAAUGAAAAAUGAAAAAAAAAUAUUUGGGGUUUACGGGCUUCCUGAAUGUAAUACCCGGGUAUUAGAUUUUAAGGCCAGGGUAAGGUUUAAGUUUUUUGGCGUUAGGGUUAAAAUCACUGUCCAAAACCUUUGUAGGAACUCUUUUCCAACCUUUUGGAGUUAGUUAGACCAAAAAAAAAAGAAAAAUGAAAAAAAAAUAUUUGGGGUGUUCAGGCUUCCUAAAAGUAAUACCUGGGUAUUAGGUUAUGGGGCUAUGGUAAGGUUUAAGGUUUUUGGCGUUAGGGUUAAAAUCACUGUCCAAAACCUUUGUAGGAACACUUUUCCAACCUUUUGGAAUUAGAUAAACCAAAAAAAAUGAAAAAUGAAAAAAUAUGUAUUUGGGGUUUUCGGGCUUCCUGAAUGUAAAACCCGGGUAUUAGAUUUUAAGGCUAGGGUAAGGUUUAAGUUUUUUGGCGUUAGGGUUAAAAUCACUGUCCAAAACCUUUGUAGGAACUCUUUUCCAACCUUUUGGAGUUAGUAAGACCACAAAAAGAAAGAAAAAUAAAAAAAUAUAUAUUUGGGGUUUCCCGGCUUCCUAAAUGUAAUACCCGGGUAUUAGAUUUUAAGGCCAGGGUAAGGUUUAAGUUUUUUGGCGUUAGGGUUAAAAUCACUGUCCAAAACCUUUGUAGGAACUCUUUUCCAACCUUUUGGAGUUAGUUAGACCAAAAAAAAAAGAAAAAUGAAAAAAAAAAUAUUUGGGGUGUUCAGGCUUCCUGAAGGUAAUACCCGGGUAUUAGAUUUCAAGGCUAGGGUAAGGUUUAAGGUUUUUGGUGUUAGGGUUAAAAUCACUGUCCAAAACCUUUGUAGGAACUCUUUUCCAACCUUUUGGAGUUAGUUAGACCAAAAAAUAUGAAAAAAGAAAAAAAUAUUAUUGGGGGUUUUCGGGCUCCCUGAAAGUAAUACCCGUGUAUUAGGUUUUGGGACUAGGGUAAGGUUUAAGGUUUUUGGCGUUAGGGUUAAAAUCACUGUCCAAAACCUUUGUAGGAACUCUUUUCCAACCUUUUGGAGUUAGUUAGACCAAAAAAAAAAGAAAAAUGAAAAAAAAAUAUUUGGGGUGUUCAGGCUUCCUAAAAGUAAUACCCGGGUAUUAGGUUAUGGGGCUAGGGUAAGGUUUAAGGUUUUUGGCGUUAGGGUUGAAAUCACUGUCCAAAACCUUUGUAGGAACUCUUUUUCAACCUUUUGGAGUUAGUUAGACCAAAAAAAAAUGAAAAAUGAAAAAAAAAAUAUUUGGGGUUUACGGGCUUCCUGAAUGUAAUACCCGGGUAUUAGAUUUUAAGGCCAUGGUAAGGUUUAAGUUUUUUGGCGUUAGGGUUAAAAUCACUGUCCAAAACCUUUGUAGGAACUCUUUUCCAACCUUUUGGAGUUAGUUAGACCAAAAAAAAAGAAAAAUGAAAAAAAAAUAUUUGGGGUGUUCAGGCUUCCUAAAAGUAAUACCCGGGUAUUAGGUUAUGGGGCUAUGGUAAGGUUUAAGGUUUUUGGCGUUAGGGUUAAAAUCACUGUCCAAAACCUUUGUAGGAACACUUUUCCAACCUUUUGGAAUUAGAUAAACCAAAAAAAAAAUGAAAAAUGAAAAAAUAUGUAUUUGGGGUUUUCGGGCUUCCUGAAUGUAAAACCCGGGUAUUAGAUUUUUUAGGCUAGGGUAAGGUUUAAGUUUUUUGGCGUUAGGGUUAAAAUCACUGUCCAAAACCUUUGUAGGAACUCUUUUCCAACCUUUUGGAGUUAGUUAGACCACAAAAAGAAUGAAAAAUAAAAAAAUAUAUAUUUGGGGUUUACCGGCUUCCUAAAAGUAAUACCCGGGUAUUAGAUUUUAAGGCCAGGGUAAGGUUUAAGUUUUUUGGCGUUAGGGUUAAAAUCACUGUCCAAAACCUUUGUAGGAACUCUUUUCCAACCUUUUGGAGUUAGUUAGACCAAAAAAAAAAGAAAAAUGAAAAAAAAAAUAUUUGGGGUGUUCAGGCUUCCUGAAGGUAAUACCCGGGUAUUAGAUUUCAAGGCUAGGGUAAGGUUUAAGGUUUUUGGCGUUAGGGUUAAAAUCACUGUCCAAAACCUUUGUAGGAACUCUUUUCCAACCUUUUGGAGUUAGUUAGACCAAAAAAUAUGAAAAAAGAAAAAAAUAUUAUUGAGGGUUUUCGGGCUCCCUGAAAGUAAUACCCGUGUAUUAGGUUUUGGGACUAGGGAAAGGUUUAAGGUUUUUGGCGUUAGGGUUAAAAUCACUGUCCAAAACCUUUGUAGGAACUCUUUUCCAACCUUUUGGAGUUAGUUAGACCAAAAAAAAAAAAGAAAAAUGAAAAAAAAAUAUUUGGGGUGUUCAGGCUUCCUAAAAGUAAUACCCGGGUAUUAGGUUAUGGGGCUAGGGUAAGGUUUAAGGUUUUUGGCGUUAGGGUUGAAAUCACUGUCCAAAACCUUUGUAGGAACUCUUUUUCAACCUUUUGGAGUUAGUUAGACCAAAAAAAAUGAAAAAUGAAAAAAAAAAUAUUUGGGGUUUACGGGCUUCCUGAAUGUAAUACCCGGGUAUUAGAUUUUAAGGCCAGGGUAAGGUUUAAGUUUUUUGGCGUUAGGGUUAAAAUCACUGUCCAAAACCUUUGUAGGAACUCUUUUCCAACCUUUUGGAGUUAGUUAGACCAAAAAAAAAAGAAAAAUGAAAAAAAAAUAUUUGGGGUGUUCAGGCUUCCUAAAAGUAAUACCUGGGUAUUAGGUUAUAGGGCUAUGGUAAGGUUUAAGGUUUUUGGCGUUAGGGUUAAAAUCACUGUCCAAAACCUUUGUAGGAACUCUUUUCCAACCUUUUGGAGUUAGUUAGACCAAAAAAAAAUGAAAAAUGAAAAAAAAAUAUUUGGGGUUUUCGGGCUUCCUGAAAGUAAUACCCGGGUAUUAGAUUUUGGGCUAGGGUAAGGUUUAAGUUUUUUGGCGUUAGGGUUAAAAUCACUGUCCAAAACCUUUGUAGGAACUCUUUUCCAACCUUUUGGAGUUAGUUAGACCAAAAAAAAAGAAAAAAAAAAAAAAUAUAUUUGGGGUUUUCAGGCUUCCUGAAUGUAAUACCCGGGUAUUAGAUUUUAAGGCCAGGGUAAGGUUUAAGGUUUUUGGCGUUAGGGUUAAAAUCACUGUCCAAAACCUUUGUAGGAACUCUUUUCCAACCUUUUGGAGUUAGUUAGACCAAAAAAAAAGAAAAAUGAAAAAAAAAAUAUUUGGGGUGUUCAGGCUUCCUGAAGGUAAUACCCGGGUAUUAGAUUUCAAGGCUAGGGUAAGGUUUAAGGUUUUUGGCGUUAGGGUUAAAAUCACUGUCCAAAACCUUUGUAGGAACUCUUUUCCAACCUUUUGGAGUUAGUUAGACCAAAAAAUAUGAAAAAAGAAAAAAAAUAUUAUUGGGGGUUUUCGGGCUCCCUGAAAGUAAUACCCGUGUAUUAGGUUUUGGGACUAGGGAAAGGUUUAAGGUUUUUGGCGUUAGGGUUAAAAUCACUGUCCAAAACCUUUGUAGGAACUCUUUUCCAACCUUUUGGAGUUAGUUAGACCAAAAAAAAAAAAGAAAAAUGAAAAAAAAAUAUUUGGGGUGUUCAGGCUUCCUAAAAGUAAUACCCGGGUAUUAGGUUAUGGGGCUAGGGUAAGGUUUAAGGUUUUUGGCGUUAGGGUUGAAAUCACUGUCCAAAACCUUUGUAGGAACUCUUUUUCAACCUUUUGGAGUUAGUUAGACCAAAAAAAAAUGAAAAAUGAAAAAAAAAAUAUUUGGGGUUUACGGGCUUCCUGAAUGUAAUACCCGGGUAUUAGAUUUUAAGGCCAGGGUAAGGUUUAAGUUUUUUGGCGUUAGGGUUAAAAUCACUGUCCAAAACCUUUGUAGGAACUCUUUUCCAACCUUUUGGAGUUAGUUAGACCAAAAAAGAAAGAAAAAUGAAAAAAAAAUAUUUGGGGUGUUCAGGCUUCCUAAAAGUAAUACCUGGGUAUUAGGUUAUGGGGCUAUGGUAAGGUUUAAGGUUUUUGGCGUUAGGGUUAAAAUCACUGUCCAAAACCUUUGUAGGAACACUUUUCCAACCUUUUGGAAUUAGAUAAACCAAAAAAAAAAUGAAAAAUGAAAAAAUAUGUAUUUGGGGUUUUCGGGCUUCCUGAAUGUAAAACCCGGGUAUUAGAUUUUUUAGGCUAGGGUAAGGUUUAAGUUUUUUGGCGUUAGGGUUAAAAUCACUGUCCAAAACCUUUGUAGGAACUCUUUUCCAACCUUUUGGAGUUAGUUAGACCACAAAAAGAAUGAAAAAUAAAAAAAUAUAUAUUUGGGGUUUACCUGGCUUCCUGAAUGUAAUACCCGGGUAUUAGAUUUUAAGGCCAGGGUAAGGUUUAAGUUUUUUGGCGUUAGGGUUAAAAUCACUGUCCAAAACCUUUGUAGGAACUCUUUUCCAACCUUUUGGAGUUAGUUAGACCAAAAAAGAAAGAAAAAUGAAAAAAAAAUAUUUGGGGUGUUCAGGCUUCCUAAAAGUAAUACCUGGGUAUUAGGUUAUGGGGCUAGGGUAAGGUUUAAGGUUUUUGGCGUUAGGGUUAAAAUCACUGUCCAAAACCUUUGUAGGAACUCUUUUCCAACCUUUUGGAGUUAGUUAGACCAAAAAAGAAAGAAAAAUGAAAAAAAAAUAUUUGGGGUGUUCAGGCUUCCUAAAAGUAAUACCUGGGUAUUAGGUUAUGGGGCUAGGGUAAGGUUUAAGGUUUUUGGCGUUAGGGUUAAAAUCACUGUCCAAAACCUUUGUAGGAACUCUUUUCCAACCUUUUGGAGUUGGUUACACCAAAAAAAAUGUAAAAUGAAAAAAAUAUAUAUUUGGGGUGUUCGGGCUUCCUGAAUGUAAUACCCGGGUAUUAGAUUUUAAGGCCAGGGUAAGGUUUAAGUUUUUUGGCAUUAGGGUUAAAAUCACUGUCCAAAACCUUUGUAGGAACAUGUUUCAGACCUUAUUGAGUUAGUUAGACCAAAAAAAAAAAAAAAAGGAACAAGAAAAAUAUAUGGGGUUUUCGGGCUUCCUGAAGGUAAUACCCGGGUAUUAGGUAAUGGGGCUAGGGUAAGGUUUAAAUGUUUUUGGAGUAAGGGUUAAAAACUACUGUCCAAAACCUUUGUAGGAACUCUUUUCCAACCUUUUGGAGUUAGUUAGACCAAAAAUAAACAAAAAAUGAAAAAAAAAUGUUUGGGGUGUUCGGUCUUCCUGAAGGUAUUAGAUUAUGGGGCUAGGGAAAGGUUUAAUGUUUUUGGUGUUAGGGUUAAAAUCACUGUCCAAAACCUUUUUAGGAACAUAUUUCAGACCUUAUGGAGUUAGUUACACCAAAAAAAAAAUUGUAAAAUGAAAAAGAAAUAUUUGGGGAGUUCGGGCUUCCUGAAGGUAAUACCCAGGUAUUAGGUUAUGGGGCUAGGGUAAGGUUUAAGGUUUUUGGCGUUAGGGGUAAAAUCACUGUCCAAAACCUUUGUAGGAACUCUUUUUUCAACCUUUUGAAGUUAGUUAGACCAAAAAUAAAAGAUAAAUGAAAAAAAAAAUAUUUGGGGUUUUCGGGCUUCCUGAAUGUAAUACCCGGGUAUUAGAUUUUAAGGCCAGGGUAAGGUUUAAGUUUUUUGGCGUUAGGGUUAAAAUCACUGUCCAAAACCUUUGUAGGAACUCUUUUCCAACCUUUUGGAGUUAGUUAGACCAAAAAAAAAAGAAAAAUGAAAAAAAUAUUAUUUGGGGUGUUCAGGCUUCCUAAAAGUAAUACCUGGGUAUUAGGUUAUGGGGCUAUGGUAAGGUUUAAGUUUUUUGGCGUUAGGGUUAAAAUCACUGUCCAAAACCUUUGUAGGAACUCUUUUCCAACCUUUUGGAGUUGGUUACACCAAAAAAAAUGUAAAAUGAAAAAAAAAAAUAUUUGGGGUGUUCGGGCUUCCUGAAAGUAAUACCCAGGUAUUAGAUUUUAAGGCCAGGGUAAGGUUUAAGGUUUUUGGCGUUAGGGUUAAAAUCACUGUCCAAAACCUUUGUAGGACCACUUUUCCAACCUUUUGGAGUUAGUUUGACCAAAAAAAAAAGAAAAAUGAAAAAAAAAUAUUUGGGGUGUUCAGGCUUCCUAAAAGUAAUACCCGGGUAUUAGGUUAUGGGGCUAGGGUAAGGUUUAAGGUUUUUGGCGUUAGGGUUGAAAUCACUGUCCAAAACCUUUGUAGGAACUCUUUUCCAACCUUUUGGAGUUAGUUAGACCAAAAAAAAAAAGAAAAAUGAAAAAAAAAUAUUUGGGGUGUUCAGGCUUCCUAAAAGUAAUACCUGGGUAUUAGGUUAUGGGGCUAUGGUAAGGUUUAAGUUUUUUGGCGUUAGGGUUAAAAUCACUGUCCAAAACCUUUGUAGGAACUCUUUUCCAACCUUUUGGAGUUGGUUACACCAAAAAAAAUGUAAAAUGAAAAAAAAAAAUAUUUGGGGUGUUCGGGCUUCCUGAAAGCAAUACCCAGGUAUUAGAUUUUAAGGCCAGGGUAAGGUUUAAGGUUUUUGGCGUUAGGGUUAAAAUCACUGUCCAAAACCUUUGUAGGACCACUUUUCCAACCUUUUGGAGUUAGUUUGACCAAAAAAAAAAAAAAGAAAAAUGAAAAAAAAAUAUUUGGGGUGUUCAGGCUUCCUAAAAGUAAUACCCAGGUAUUAGGUUAUGGGGCUAUGGUAAGGUUUAAGUUUUUUGGCGUUAGGGUUAAAAUCACUGUCCAAAACCUUUGUAGGAACUCUUUUUCAAUCUUUUGGAGUUAGUUAGACCAAAAAAAAAAAAAAAGAAAAAUGAAAAAAAAAUAUUUGGGGUGUUCAGGCUUCCUAAAAGUAAUACCCGGGUAUUAGGUUUUGUGGCUAGGGUAAGGUUUAAGGUUUUUGGCGUUAGGGUUGAAAUCACUGUCCAAAACCUUUGUAGGAACUCUUUUCCAACCUUUUGGAGUUGGUUACACAAAAAAAAAUGUAAAAUGAAAAAAAAAAAUAUUUGGGGUGUUCGGGCUUCCUGAAAGUAAUACCCAGGUAUUAGAUUUUAAGGCCAGGGUAAGGUUUAAGGUUUUUGGUGUUAGGGUUAAAAUCGCUGUCCAAAACCUUUGUAGGAACACUUUUCAAACCUUUUGGAAUUAGAUAAACCAAAAAAAAAUGAAAAAUGAAAAAAUAUAUAUUUGGGGUUUUCGGGCUUCCUGAAUGUAAGGGUAUUAGAUUUUAAGGCUAGGGUAAGGUUUAAGUUUUUUGGCGUUAGGGUUAAAAUCACUGUCCAAAACCUUUGUAGGAACUCUUUUCCAACCUUUUGGAGUUGGUUACACCAACAAAAAUGUAAAAUGACAAAAAAAUAUUUGGGGUGUUCAGGCUUCCUAAAAGUAAUACCCGAUUAGGUUAUGGGGCUAUGGUAAGGUUUAAGGUUUUUGGCGUUAGGGUUAAAAUCACUGUCCAAAACCUUUGUAGGAACUCUUUUUCAACCUUUUGGAGUUAGUUAGACCAAAAAAAAAAUGAAAAAUGAAAAAAAAAAUAUUUGGGGUGUUCAGGCUUCCUGAAUGUAAUACCCGGGUAUUAGAUUUUAAGGCCAGGGAAAGGUUUAAGUUUUUUGGCGUUAGGGUUAAAAUCACUGUCCAAAACCUUUGUAGGAACUCUUUUCCAACCUUUUGGAGUUAGUUAGACCAAAAAAUAUGAAAAAAGAAAAAAAUAUUAUUGGGGGUUUUCGGGCUCCCUGAAAGUAAUACCCGGGUAUUAGGUUAUGGGGCUAUGGUAAGGUUUAAGUUUUUUGGCGUUAGGGUUAAAAUCACUGUCCAAAACCUUUGUAGGAACUCUUUUCCAACCUUUUGGAGUUAGUUAGACCAAAAAAUAUGAAAAAAGAAAAAAAUAUUAUUGGGGGUUUUCGGGCUCCCUGAAAGUAAUACCCGGGUAUUAGGUUAUGGGGCUAUGGUAAGGUUUAAGUUUUUCUGCGUUAGGGUUAAAAUCACUGUCCAAAACCUUUGUAGGAACUCUUUUCCAACCUUUUGGAGUUAGUUAGACCAAAAAAAAAUGAAAAAUGAAAAAACAAUAUUUGGGGUUUUUGGGGUUCCUGAAUGUAAUACCCGGGUAUUAGAUUUUAAGGCUAGGGUAAGGUUUAAGUUUUUUGGCAUUAGGGUUAAAAUCACUGUCCAAAACCUUUGUAGGAACUCUUUUCCAACCUUUUGGAGUUAGUUAGACCAAAAAAUAUGAAAAAAGAAAAAAAUAUUAUUGGGGGUUUUCGGGCUCCCUGAAAGUAAUACCCGGGUAUUAGGUUAUGGGGCUAUGGUAAGGUUUAAGUUUUUUGGCGUUAGGGUUAAAAUCACUGUCCAAAACCUUUGUAGGAACUCUUUUCCAACCUUUUGGAGUUAGUUAGACCAAAAAAAAAUGAAAAAUGAAAAAACAAUAUUUGGGGUUUUUGGGGUUCCUGAAUGUAAUGUAUUAGAUUUUAAGGCUAGGGUAAGGUUUAAGUUUUUUGGCAUUAGGGUUAAAAUCACUGUCCAAAACCUUUGUAGGAACUCUUUUCCAACCUUUUGGAGUUGGUUAGACCAACAAAAAUGUAAAAUGAAGAAAAAAAUAUUUGGGGUGUUCAGGCUUCCUGAAGGUAAUACCAGGGUAUUAGGUUAUGGGACUAGGGAAAGGUUUAAGGUUUUUGGCGUUAGGGUUAAAAUCACUGUCCAAAACCUUUGUAGGAACUCUUUUCCAACCUUUUGGAGUUAGUUAGACCAAAAAAAAAAGAAAAAUGAAAAAAAAAAUAUUUGGGGUUUUCGGGCUUCCUGAAUGUAAUACCCGGGUAUUAGAUUUUAAGGCUAGGGUAAGGUUUAAGUUUUUUGGCAUUAGGGUUAAAAUCACUGUCCAAAACCUUUGUAGGAACUCUUUUCCAACCUUUUGGAGUUGGUUACACCAACAAAAAUGUAAAAUGAAAAAAAAAUAUUUGGGGUGUUCGGGCUUCCUGAAGGUAAUAACCGGGAAUUAGGUUAUGGGGCUAUGGUAAGUUUUAAGGUUUUUGGCGUUAGGGUUAAAAUCACUGUCCAAAACCUUUGUAGGAACUCUUUUCCAACCUUUUGGAGUUAGUUAGACCAAAAAAAAAAGAAAAAUGAAAAAAAAGAUAUUUGGGGUGUUCAGGCUUCCUAAAAGUAAUACCUGGGUAUUAGGUUAUGGGGCUAUGGUAAGGUUUAAGGUUUUUGGCGUUAGGGUUAAAAUCACUGUCCAAAACCUUUGUAGGAACACUUUUCCAACCUUUUGGAGUUGGUUAGACCAAAAAAAAAGAAAAAUGAAAAAAAAAUAUUUGGGGUUUUCGGGCUUCCUGAAUGUAAUACCCGGGUAUUAGAUUUUAAGGCUAGGGUAAGGUUUAAGUUUUUUGGCAUUAGGGUUAAAAUCACUGUCCAAAACCUUUGUAGGAACUCUUUUCCAACCUUUUGGAGUUGGUUACACCAAAAAAAAUGUAAAAUGAAAAAAAUAUAUAUUUGGGGUGUUCGGGCUUCCUGAAAGUAAUACCCAGGUAUUAG